UACGGAGGAUGCGAGCGUUAUCCGGAUUUAUUGGGUUUAAAGGGUGCGCAGGCGGCGCGGUAAGUCAGCGGUAAAAGCCCGGGGCUCAACCCCGGCGAGCCGUUGAAACUGGCUUGCUUGAGUUGGAGAGAAGUAGGCGGAAUGCGCGGUGUAGCGGUGAAAAGCUUAGAUAUCACGAAGAACCCCGAUUGCGAAGGCAGCGUACUGGCGCCGGACUGACGCUGAGGCACGAAAGCGUGGGUAUCGAA
rnacentral:rRNA from 1 species